rnacentral:rRNA from 1 species
GCACGCAUGGUAGGAGAGCGUUCCGUAAGCCUGCGAAGGUGCGUUGAAAAGCGUGCUGGAGGUAUCGGAAGUGCGAAUGCUGACAUGAGUAGCGAUAAAGGGGGUGAAAGGCCCCCUCGCCGUAAGCCCAAGGUUUCCUACGCAACGUUCAUCGGCGUAGGGUGAGUCGGCCCCUAAGGCGAGGCAGAAAUGCGUAGCUGAUGGGAAGCAGGUCAAUAUUCCUGCACCAUUGUUAGAUGCGAUGGGGGGACGGAUCGCGGAAGGUUGUCCGGGUGUUGGAAGUCCCGGUCGCUGCAUUGGAGAAGGCGCUUAGGCAAAUCCGGGCGCGUAAUUCAAGGGUGUGGCGCGAGCUCCUUAGGGAGCGAAGCAAUUGGAAGUGGUUCCAAGAAAAGCCUCUAAGCUUCAGUCUAACGAUGACCGUACCGCAAACCGACACAGGUGGGCGAGAUGAGUAUUCUAAGGCGCUUGAGAGAACUCGGGAGAAGGAACUCGGCAAAUUGGUACCGUAACUUCGGGAUAAGGUACGCCCUUGUAGCUUGACUGGCCUGCGCCAGGAGGGUGAAGGGGUUGCAAUAAACUGGUGGCUGCGACUGUUUAAUAAAAACACAGCACUCUGCAAACACGAAAGUGGACGUAUAGGGUGUGACGCCUGCCCGGUGCCGGAAGAUUAAAUGAUGGGGUGCAAGCUCUUGAUUGAAGUCCCGGUAAACGGCGGCCGUAACUAUAACGGUCCUAAGGUAGCGAAAUUCCUUGUCGGGUAAGUUCCGACCUGCACGAAUGGCGUAACGAUGGCCACACUGUCUCCUCCCGAGACUCAGCGAAGUUGAAGUGUUUGUGAUGAUGCAAUCUACCCGCGGCUAGACGGAAAGACCCCAUGAACCUUUACUGUAGCUUUGCAUUGGACUUUGAACCGAUCUGUGUAGGAUAGGUGGGAGGCUAUGAAACCGGAACGCUAGUUUCGGUGGAGCCGUCCUUGAAAUACCACCCUGGUUUGUUUGAGGUUCUAACCUUGGCCCGUGAUCCGGGUCGGGGACAGUGCAUGGUAGGCAGUUUGACUGGGGCGGUCUCCUCCCAAAGCGUAACGGAGGAGUACGAAGGUACGCUAGGUACGGUCGGAAAUCGUGCUGAUAGUGCAAUGGCAUAAGCGUGCUUAACUGCGAGACCGACAAGUCGAGCAGGUGCGAAAGCAGGUCAUAGUGAUCCGGUGGUUCUGUAUGGAAGGGCCAUCGCUCAACGGAUAAAAGGUACUCUGGGGAUAACAGGCUGAUACCGCCCAAGAGUUCAUAUCGACGGCGGUGUUUGGCACCUCGAUGUCGGCUCAUCUCAUCCUGGGGCUGUAGCCGGUCCCAAGGGUAUGGCUGUUCGCCAUUUAAAGAGGUACGUGAGCUGGGUUUAAAACGUCGUGAGACAGUUUGGUCCCUAUCUGCCGUGGGCGUUGGAUAUUUGAAGGGGGCUGCUCCUAGUACGAGAGGACCGGAGUGGACGAACCUCUGGUGUACCGGUUGUCACGCCAGUGGCAUCGCCGGGUAGCUAUGUUCGGAAGAGAUAACCGCUGAAAGCAUCUAAGCGGGAAACUCGCCUUAAGAUGAGAUAUCCCUGGG